UACGUAGGUGGCAAGCGUUGUCCGGAUUUACUGGGCGUAAAGAGCGCGCAGGCGGUCGGAUAAGUCGAAUGUGAAAGCCCCCGGCUCAACUGGGGAGGGUCAUUCGAUACUGUUCGACUCGAAGGCAGGAGAGGGAAGUGGAAUUCCCGGUGUAGUGGUGAAAUGCGUAGAUAUCGAGAGGAACACCUGCGGCGAAGGCGGGUUGCUGGGCUGACACUGACGCUGAGGCGCGAAAGCUAGGGGAGCGAACGGG
rnacentral:rRNA from 1 species